rnacentral:rRNA from 1 species
GACGGAGGAUGCAAGCGUUAUCCGGAAUGAUUGGGCGUAAAGCGUCUGCAGGUGGCAGUUCAAGUCUGCUGUCAAAGACCGGGGCUUAACUUCGGAAAGGCAGUGGAAACUGAACAGCUAGAGUAUGGUAGGGGCAGAGGGAAUUCCCGGUGUAGCGGUGAAAUGCGUAGAGAUCAGGAAGAACAUCGGUGGCGAAGGCGCUCUGCUGGACCAUAACUGACACUCAGGGACGAAAGCUAGGGGAGCGAAUGGG